UAAUACGUAGGGUGCAAGCGUUGUCCGGAAUUAUUGGGCGUAAAGAGCUCGUAGGCGGUUUGUCGCGUCUGCUGUGAAAAUCCGAGGCUCAACCUCGGACUUGCAGUGGGUACGGGCAGACUAGAGUGCAGUAGGGGAGAGGGGAAUUCCUGGUGUAGCGGUGGAAUGCGCAGAUAUCAGGAGGAACACCGAUGGCGAAGGCACUUCUCUGGGCUGUAACUGACGCUGAGGAGCGAAAGCGUGGGGAGCGAACAGGAUUAGAUACCCUGGUAGUCCACGCCGUAAACGUUGGGCGCUAGAUGUGGGCCACAUUCCACGUGGUCCGUGUCGCAGCUAACGCAUUAAGCGCCCCGCCUGGGGAGUACGGCCGCAAGGCUAAAACUCAAAGGAAUUGACGGGGGCCCGCACAAGCGGCGGAGCAUGCGGAUUAAUUCGAUGCAACGCAAAGAACCUUACCAAGGCUUGACAUAUAGAGGAAACGUUCAGAAAUGAUCGCCCCAGCAA
rnacentral:rRNA from 1 species